rnacentral:lncRNA from 1 species
AGAGAGUCUUAUUUAGGGGAAUGGGAACCUAGAAGGAAAAAUGACCGGUCGGGUCAUUAAAGUUACCUUGCUUUUUUCUCUUAUCUUGCCCUUCCUUAUUAUUAAAUAAUUAUAUUUUAUCAUUUAUCUUUUUUUAUACAAUAAUUCUACAAUGUAUCCUAACUUUUCUUAGUAUUGUUGCAAGCUAUUUUUCAUAUUGUUGGUACAUUACAUCAUGAAAUGACGGUAAAUGAUACAAUCGGUCCAAACGUUGUAUUCAUUAAACAAUACAUUACAAUAAAAUACGAUACAUUAUGAAACGACAAGUAACAACAAUCCAUCAAACUUUCUCUCUACACUCACUCAUUUUUCUCUGUCUUCUCACAAAUGUUAACUGUUGAACAUUUUGGACCAUUAGCCCCCACCUCUUCUCCCACCAUCCCCACCUGACCCACCAAACAAUCUAACCAAUCAAAAUCUCUCAAGCAGCCAAAAUAUUACCAUUACACAACACUCCACCGCUCAAUCGCCACCUUCUACUAAGGCCACCGCUGAAAUUGAUGCCUCCACACAAAAUCAACCAUCAUCUACACCACUAAUACCUCUAAAUCAACAAAAUACAACACUACUCAUACAUCCCAUGCAACCAUCUCUUAUGCAUUACAAUACUCCCAGCCCUAAUCCCAAUUACUGAAAGUCUCCUCUAACUUCGAUAGAUACAAUCGACCAAAUUGAGAAACCAAGGAAAAUAAUUGAGCUCCUGUUGCCACACCCAACUCAACCUAGAACCAACUGCAAAUGGGAUAAGAUAUCUCUCCAUCCCAGCCCCAACCUCCCAAUUUCUCAGGUACCAAUCCAAUUAAUAGUUCUAAAUCUCCCAAUAGACCUCCUAACAUAAUUUUCAAACCUUUAUUUGCCUCCAUAGUUUCAGCAAAUCUCGCCCUCGGCCUAAAAGGAAAACAACUCAUGAAUAUGACUCAUGAAACUCAUAUGGGUAAACUAGCUAUGUAUUUUUCUGCUCUAGACUAUUUCGUCAACCUUGUUGAGGAUUGCCGUCUUACUGUUGUUGGGAAAUUCUUGAAAGGAAAACCACCAUGGAUGAGUUGAGAAAACUUUUCAAUAGCCAUGUUCCUCUAAAAGGUACCGUGAAGAUUGCCUAUUUUGAUCAUAAUCAUGUAUAUGUUAAUUUCACAAAUGAAGCAGGUUUCUACCAUAUUUAUUUCAAACCAUUCAUUACUUUGGGUCCCUAUAUAAUGAAAAUAAUUAAAUGGACCCCUGACUUUGUCCCUGAAAGUGAAACCUCUUUGGUCCCUGAUUGGAUUUUAAUCCAUCAAUUUCUGUGGGACUUAUUUAGAUGGGACAUUAUUUCUAGGAUGGUUAGAUCAAUUGGCACGUCUAUGGCUCCCAACAUGGCUACUUAUUCCAAAUCAAGAGGAAAUGUUGUGAAGUUAACAUUGGAAAGUGAUCUUUUAAAACCAAAACAAGAUCAAAUUUGGGUAGGUUUUUAAAGAUUAGAUUAUAAUGUGGAAGAUGGUUAUUAGUUAGAUGUGGAAUAUGAGGGUGUUCCCUCAUACUAUCAAUAUUGUCUCAUGAAAGGCCACUCCUAAAGUGAAUGCAGGAAGCAUAAAAGAGAUGUUGAACAUAAUAACAUGAUUAAUAAUGAGAAAACCGGGGAAGACAAUCAAUGGAGGUCUCAAAGAGGUUCCAAAAGAAAACCUCAAGCAGUUCUUGAAAAAAAUGACUCAGUCCAGCAUACUUCUAAUACUGUGAACAACAUCCAAUAUGAUCAAAAUAACCUUCUUCAUCAACCUCAAAGAGAACAUGUGACACAAGGAAACAAUGCUUACCCAGAUUAGCCAAACGGUGGUUUCAAGCCUCAUUUCACCGAAGAGAAAAUAGAAACAAGAAAAAAGUUCAAUGGCAAGUGCAUAAUAAUCCUCUCCAACAGACUUUCAAGUAGCUUCAAUAUAGCCACACAUGUAUUAAUCCUCCCAGAACCUAGCCAUCUAGCUCAUGUAUCCAGCAAUAAUACUACUCAGGAUAUACCCACACAAACUCAAAUCAUAAAUCAUAAGUCUACUCCAUCUCCCAACAAUGAUCUACAUCACAGCCCCAAGAUAAAUGUCAAAACCAAAUCCAACCUCGCACAUCAGAGUACCCAGCAAAAUUCAUAUGUUCUUGUACCAGAUAAAUCACAACCCAAUCAAAUCUGAGUUGGGCAUAAUAGAAUUGCUCAACAACCUUCCACUACUACUCAAUGUACAGUUCCUUCAUCUAAUACUCCCUCAAUCUCUGGAAGUAAGGUUGCAGUGCAAAAUACACCAAGCCAAUAUAGAGAUCAUUCUAUACACAAACCACCCGACCCUCCACCCGGUCAGAUUCUUUCUAGAUCACCCUCACCAACUAACAAUCUUAAUAUUCAACCAAAUAACACUGAUUCAGAGGGUGGUUCAGAAUAUGAGGAUGAUGAACUACAUGAAUCUGCUAGGUGGCUCAAGUGCUGAUUAUGAGUGUGAGGUUAAUUUCGAUGCAGAAUAAAGUGACACAGAUAAUGAUUUUAAAAGUGUUGAAGAAAUAUCAGCCACCGGUGAUGAAACAACAUAUGUUAUGGUGGAAACAUUAGUACAACAACCCCUUCCACCUGUUGAAAUUACCCAAGCUUUUGGAGAGAUCACUGAGAAGCAUAACUUAUCUCCUAUAGGUACUACUUCUGUAGGAAUUACAACCAGAGCAAGCAAAAGAGGCAGAGGGGGCAGAGGUAAUCAUUUUGUGAAAUCCUCACAGAACAAAGGCAAUAAAAUUAUAUCUUUUAAUGAUUGAGUCUCUAAUUUAAAAUAUUAGAGGCAUCACUUCCCAAGGUGCCUUUAACAUACUCAAACAACUUAAAAGACUUUACAAGCUUCAAUUUAUUGUUGUUAUGGAACCUUUUAAUAGUAGAACUAAGCUGGACAAAUUUAGAAGAGGCUUGGGGGUUUGAUUUUGCCUAUGCUAACUCAACUAACAAGAUCUGGUUUUUCUGUGAUAAUUCUACGAAUUGUACAAUCAAUAAGGACAUGAAUCAAUAAAUGACAUGCUCAGUGGAAUACUAUAGAGAGCUAAUCCACUUAAGUAUGGUUUAUGCUAAAUGCAAGGAACACUUAAGAGAGCCGUUAUGUGAAAGCCUUUAUAAUCUCUCUGAUGUCAUUAAUUCACCAUGGAUGAUUACUGGGGACUUUUAUUCUAUAACUGAUCCAGAUGAGAAGAGCGGAGGGAAGAUCCAUGAUAUUGCAAGGAGCUUACCUUUCAUAAAUUGUAUUGGAGAGACUGUGACAUGAUUGAUCUUGGUUAUAAUGGUUCUCCUUACACAAGGUGCAAUGUUUAAGAACCUAGAAAAAGAAUAUGGGCUAGAUUGAAUAGGGCUCUUGUUAAUAAUGAUUUGCUGCAGAAGUUCACUUCUACCAAUGUCUCUCAUUUGGUUAGAACCGGUUCAGAUCAUGCUCCACUCCUAAUUUUCAUAGCCAAUCUGCAUACUGAUCCAAAGAGAUAUUUUAAAUUCCCGUAUUUCUGGACAGAUCAAGAUGGUUUUAUGCAAGUAGUACAACAAACCUGGGAUAUUCAAGUUGAAGGAGGUCCAAUGUGGAGGUUUCAUUUAAAGUUGAAGAAUACCUGCAAAAUAUUUUCUUACUGGUCCAAGCAUACUAUUGGGAAUAUCUUUGAUAAAACUAAAGAACUUUAAUCUAAG